rnacentral:rRNA from 1 species
UACGUAGGGUGCAAGCGUUAAUCGGAAUUAUUGGGCGUAAAGCGCACGUAGGCGGUUUGUUAAGUCGGAUGUGAAAUCCCUCGGCUCAACUGAGGAAGUGCAUCCGAAACUGGCAGGCUUGAGUACUAAAGAGGGUCGCGGAAUUCCCGGUGUAGAGGUGAAAUUCGUAGAUAUCGGGAGGAACACCGGUGGCGAAGGCGGCGACCUGGGUAGAUACUGACGCUGAGGUGCGAAAGCGUGGGGAGCAAACAGG